UAUGGCUAUACCACACUGAAACAUCAGUUCUUGUUUGAUCACUGAAGUUAAGCAACGUUGAACCUGGUCAGUACCUAGAUGAGUGACUGCUUGGGAAUACCAAGUGCUGUAAG